UUCCGCUGGCUUCGCCUGGACUCUCGGCCUCUCUGCGGGCAGGGGGGCCCUUCUUCCCAAACUCCUCACUUUUCCUCCCCGAGGCCGCGGCCACGCGCAGUCGCAUUCUCACGGCCGCCCAAGUCACCUGCGCGGCCGCCCCCGGCGGCUCGGGGGGCCUCUUCUCCCCUCCCCGAGCGGCGGCGGAGGGCGCGGGGCGCGCGGGCGGGCAGCGGCCUCUCCCCUCCCUUCUCUCCCCGGCACCCCCUCCUCUCCCUCCUCUCCCCCGCGCUCCCCCUCAGCCCCUCCUCCCACACCCCGCUGCCUCCUCGCUCCGGAGAGUUGCCCGGUACCUUCGGCGACGAGUUUGGAGCCGCCCCACCGCAGAGCCCACGACCGGCCCAGCGCGAGCGACGCAGGUGCCGGAGCCCCCGCGCCGCCGCCAUCUCUGCCUCCGCCUGGGUUGGACCCCAGCCUCGAGAUUUACUGUUUUUCAGGUGUACGUCUCUGAAGUAAGAUGAUCUGUCAAAAAUUCUAUGUGGCUUUGUUACAUUGGGAGUUUAUUUAUGGGAUAACUGCAUUUAACUUGGCAUAUCCAAUUAGUCCCUGGAAAUUUAAGUUGUCUUGCAUGCCACCGAAUACAACAUAUGACUUCCUCUUGCCUGCUGGACUCUCAAAGAACACUUCAAAUUUGAAUGGACAUUAUGAGGCAGUUGUUGAAACUAAACUUAAUUCAAGUGGUACCUACUUAUCUAACUUACCAUCCAAAACAACUUUUCACUGUUGCUUUUGGAGCGAGGAAGAUAAAAACUGCUCUGUAUGUGCAGACGACGUUGAAGGGAAAGCAUUUGUUUCAACAGCAAAUUCUUUAGUUUUUCAACAAAUAGGUGCAAACUGGAACAUACAGUGCUGGAUGAAAGAGGACUUGAAAUUAUUGAUCUGUUAUAUGGAGCCAUUAUUUAAGAAUCCUUUAAAGAAUUAUGACCUUAAGGUCCAUCUUUUAUAUGUUCUGCUUGAAGUGUUGGAAGAGUCACCUCGGCCCUCCCAGAAAGACAGUUUUCAGAUUGUUCAGUGCAACUGCAGUGUUCACGAAUGUUGUGAAUGCCAUGUGCCUGUGCCAACAGCCAAACUCAAUUACACCCUUCUUAUGUAUUUGAAGAUCACAUCUGGUGGAGUAACUUUUCACUCACCUCCAAUGUCAGUUCAGCCCAUAAAUGUCGUGAAGCCUGAUCCACCAUCAGGUUUGCAUAUGGAAAUCACGGACACUGGUGAUUUAAAGAUUUCUUGGUCCAGCCCAAUAUCAGUACCAUUUCAACUUCGGUAUCAAGUGAAAUAUUCAGAGAAUUCUACAACAAAUAUGAGAAAAGCUGAUGAGACUGUCUCAGCUACUUCUCUGCUAGUAGACAGUGCGCUCCCUGGGUCUUCCUAUGAGGUUCAGGUGAGGGGCAAGAGACUGGAUGGCCCAGGAAUCUGGAGUGACUGGAGUACACCGCUUACCUUUACCACACAAGAUGUCAUAUACUUCCCACCUAAAAUUCUGACAAGUGUUGGGUCUAACGUUUCUUUUCACUGCGUCUAUAAAAAUGAAAACAAGAUUGUUUCCUCAAAAAAGAUUGUUUGGUGGAUGAAUUUAGCUGAGAAAAUUCCUCAAAGCCAGUAUGAUGUUGUGGGUGACCAUGUUAGCAAAGUUACUUUUCCCAAUCUGAAUGCAACCAGACCUCGAGGGAAGUUCACCUAUGACGCAGUGUACUGCUGCAAUGAGCACGAGUGCCACCAUCGCUAUGCUGAAUUAUAUGUGAUUGAUGUCAAUAUCAAUAUAUCAUGUGAAACUGAUGGGUACUUAACUAAAAUGACUUGCAGAUGGUCAACUAAUGCAAUCCAAUCACUUGUGGGAAGUGCUUUGCAGCUGAGGUAUCAUAGGAGCAGCCUUUACUGUUCUGAUGUUCCAUCUAUUCAUCCCAUAUCUGAACCCAAAGACUGCCACUUGCAGAGAGAUGGUUUUUAUGAAUGCAUAUUUCAGCCAAUCUUUCUGUUAUCCGGCUAUACAAUGUGGAUUAGAAUUAAUCACCCGUUGGGUUCACUUGACUCGCCACCGACGUGUGUCGUUCCUGAUUCCGUGGUGAAACCACUGCCUCCAUCCAGUGUGACAGCAGAAAUUACUGUAAAAAUUGGAUUAUUGAAAAUAUCUUGGGAAAAGCCAGUCUUUCCAGAGAAUAAUCUUCAGUUUCAGAUUCGCUAUGGUUUAAGUGGAAAAGAAGUACAAUGGAAGAUGUAUGAGGUGUAUGAUGCAAAAUUAAAAUCCGCCAGUCUCCCCGUGCCAGACGUGUGUGCCAUCUAUGCUGUCCAGGUGCGCUGUCAGAGGCUGGAUGGACUGGGGUAUUGGAGUGAUUGGAGCACUACGGCCUACACCGCUGUUACAGAUAUACAAGUUCCUCUCAGAGGACCGGAAUUUUGGAGAAUAAUUAAUGAAGACAUCACUAAAAAAGAGAGAAAUGUCACUUUGUUUUGGAAGCCCCUGAUGAAAACUGACUCAUUGUGCAGUGUGAGAAGAUAUGUGGUGAAACAUUAUACUUCCCGCAUCGGAACGUGGUCAGAAGACGUGGGGAAUCACACUAAAUUCACUUUCCCAUGGACAGAGCAAACGCAUUCUGUUACAGUUCUGGCCAUCAAUUCAAUUGGUGCUUCUUCUGCAAAUUUUAACUUAACAUUCUCAUUGUCGAUGAGUAAAGUAAAUAUCGUGCAGUCACUCAGUGCUUAUCCUUUAAACAGCAGUUGUGUGAUUCUUUCCUGGAUGCUGUCACCCAGUGAUUACAAUCUGACGUAUUUUAUUCUCGAGUGGACAAUUCUUAAUGAAGACAAUGAAAUUAAGUGGCUUAGAAUCCCUUCCUCUGUUAAGAAGUAUUAUAUCCAUGAUCACUUUAUCCCCAUUGAGAAGUAUCAGUUUAGUCUUUACCCAGUAUUUAUGGAAGGAGUGGGGAAACCGAAGAUAAUUAAUAGUUUUACCCAAGGUGACGAAAAACACCAGAAUGAUGCAGGUCUAUAUGUAAUUGUGCCAAUAAUUAUUUCCUCUUCCAUCUUGUUGCUUGGAACAUUGUUAAUAUCACACCAAAGGAUGAAAAAGCUGUUUUGGGAAGAUGUUCCAAACCCCAAGAACUGUUCCUGGGCACAAGGACUUAAUUUUCAGAAGGCUGAACAGGACUUUCCAGUAAAACUUUGAAACAAUUCCGGCGUUGUCAUCUGGCAUCCGUUGUCGCUUCUGAGAAGUCAGAGAAUGGAUAUUCUUUGAAGCCUAAGCAUGGUCACUACGAUGAACCCAAUGUACCAACUUCCCAACAUCCUGUAGCAUAUUAGAAGAGUUUUACAUUUUGAAGAAGGGGAGACAAUCUAAAAAAAAUUUGGUUGAACUGUUGAGAACUAAAAUAUGGUGGAUUAUGUUGAUUUAGAACUUAUGCUAGAUGGUUAAAUUUGGGAUCAAGCUAUAUAGGUCUUAGUCCAAUUCAGUCUUUAUGUAUGAUUACUUUUUGGGUCAUCUAAACUUUAUAAAGUCAUAUUUGUGAUAUCUGACUUUUUAGAUUUGUCAUUUGGUCAUAAAACAUUAAAAAAUUGACUACCGCUCUUACCACAUAUCUAUUAGAUAUCAUCAAAUAUACAGUAGACAUGCUGUCAUCAGGUGAAAAUGGCAACUUCUGACACGUAGCUUUGCAAAUACAAUGGCUCUGAAUAUAGAAUGCAGUAAAAGUAUUAAAUUUUAUGUCCAAAUUUUUCCAUUUUAUAUUCUAUAGAUCAGCCUGUAAACUGACCCAUUUGGGUGUUCUUUUGAAUGUCUUGUGGCUUUUAUGUAUAUCUAACCUUGGUCAAUAUGGGAAUUUUCAUUUUCAGUAGCCUUGAAAAUGACUUAAGUCCUAACUUCCAUUUCAGCUCAGAGAAAGCCAGAAGUUACCAUUUGUGCUGGUCAAAGGCCAGUAGAAGUUACAGUUCAUAUCAGGAUGACCUGGUCAGAGUGACCAGAUCAGAAAACACAUCAGCCUCCAAUUCAGCCUCCUUGUGAGAUUCUUGACUAAAUGUAAUUUAUUUACACUGAACCACCCAAAGCUUCUGGCAGGCAGGGAAGUGGGCAGUGAUGCAAAAAGGGAGACUGUCUGGAGCUUUUAGAAAUUGUUCAUGGCAAACUCAGGGCUUUUCUCCCUGAAAAAAAAAGGCUACCUGCUAUUUCUCUGAAGUUGCCUUGUGUGCUGUGUUGCUCACAUUCAGAAUAAACCAAAGCCUCUAUUUGACGAACCCAAAUAAUAUUAAAAUUUAGGCUACAUAUGGAUUACGUACAUUUAAAUUUCAUUCCUAGUUUGAUUUUUAAUGUUAAAAAAGACCGUAAAGAUCAGAAAGAACGUGUCCUUUUCCCCCUUUGUUGACUUGUAAUAGAUGUCAUUGGAAUGUGAAAUCUAAGUGUGAAAAUAUGAAAGGCUAUUCUUUAAUUCUUGCCAGCUGAAUACAUAUUUAAUGUACUCCCAGACUGUUCUAAAAUCUUGAAAAAUUAGAUAUAUAUAAUGAUUGAAAUGAUUUUUUAAUUAACAUACUUUUUGUGACCCACUGAUAAAAUAUACUUUAAUACUAGAUGGACAUGUGAUUUCUUUUUCAUUAUUAGUGAAAUUUCAUCAGUUGUAUUUGAGGACAUGUAAAUUAUUUAGUGUCAAUAAUUAAUUGCCAACUAUGAAGUUUGAGAGGGCAUGAAAUAUGCCAGACGUGUCAUUGGAAGAUUUGUGAGUUUGGCUGCAUGCUGUGGGCUGUUUGUGUGUAUUUUUUGUUUUCAUGUUGAUACCAUGCAAUUCCUUUAUUUGGAGAGCUUAAUUUCUUAGUUUCAUUUAAACUAUAAGAAAUUCAAUACAUUUAUGGUAAAAAAAAAAACAAAACCUUAAGAGAAAACAAAAUAAGCAAGAAAAUAGUUUCAGGAAAUUAUAAAUCUAAUUAUAGGUUUCUGUCAGAAAGAAAAUAGGCACAGGAACAGUUUUCUCUCACGUGUUAUGUUUGUAGGAUAACAGAAAAGCUUGUAUUAAUACAGGAUCUGUCAUUAUGCAGCAUUUUAACAUCUGUAUGUCUAUUCCAUUAUUAUAUUUAGUGUCUGUUAUACUUAUUCCUUUAUGGUUAUAAUCACCACUAGAUUUCAUUUAAAA